AGAAGGGAAGCUAGCAUUUAGAGAUUAAAUGUCAUCCUUUUGGCGUUGGAAAGUUGUUUACCUUGCGCUCUCUGUGUCUCCAUGUUGGCACCUUUCCAGUUCACAUGUGAUGGCCUUCCUUGUACUGCUGCAUCAUUAACUAAGUGACUGAGCUGGCCUUCCAUUGGCCAGGGGAGGGCUCUCACUCCAGACAUUUCUUCUGAUUGGUGGGUGGGCCAAUGGCAGGUGAAAACCUUUUUUUGAUUGGUUGAGGGCAGGGUAUCAAAUCUGAAUUUGCAUUUCACUUGCUUAAAGGGGAGGGGGGAGAAGCCCAGCAGCUUUCUAAAAUCUGUUUAGGGGUGUGCGUAUGCUCCUGUGUCUGUGCCUGCUUUUGACUGACCAGUUGAAGCCUCCUCUUAAGCCUUUUUUAUUUCAUGCACUCUAAGGAAGAGGCGCUCAGGGUUCCCCAAACUUUUUUUUGAAGGAGGAAGGGUUGGAGAGAUGGGUGCGCAGAGGGUCGACCAAACUGGAAAGAAAUAUUUGUCCUUUAGUUUGGUGUCGGAAGAGGGAAUUUUCAAUCUGCCACACCUCAGUGUUGCGGCAAAAUAAAUUCUUGGCUCCCCUGGAAAUGCACGGGCAAGGUAGGACAGAGCUGCUGCUGCUGACACUGCCACCACCAUGGGCUUCCUGCUGCCUCUGGGCUACUCCCCGGGGACCAGAGAUUUGCAUUGACGGGGCUGUCCAGAGCUGAGCCCAGUGUGGGAAGGACCUGCCUUCUGGAAGCUGCUGCUCCCUGGUGCUGGGAAAGGUACAGGUCCGGCUCUUUCUCCGAGUUUAUUUCCUGUAUUGCUUACCACAACGCUGCGAGGAGCGUCCCAUGGCUGGUAAGUGUUCUGCUCAUGAUUAGAACCCCUAUUCUCCCAAAGCCUUUGCUUUUUUUUUUUUUUUUUUUUNNNNNNNNNNNNNNNNNNNNUUUUUUUUACCUGUCAGUUCUCAGUGUCUGCAAAAUACCUCUUACGACGUAGAUCCCCAAAACGUGUCUAUUUAAGGAAUUUUGUACAUCCCUAAUGCCAUAUGGAGGUUUGGGUGGCCGACCUUCCUGCACCCGAGGUCUGGGUCUCUUAGUCAUUCUGUGCUGCCCUCCCUGCUACCUCGUUAACUUUCUCCUCUUCCUUUGCGGUCAGGUUCACGCAAGAUGAUGGCUUUUUUUUCUUUUUCUCUCUCUCUUUCUGGUAGCUGCAGUUGGUGGAUUAACAAACCUCAGUUACCCUGGUCACCUUCCUCCCA
rnacentral:lncRNA from 1 species